UACCAGCACCCCGAGUGGUCGGGACGAUUAUUGGGCCUAAAGCAUCCGUAGCCGGUUUUACAAGUCCUCCGUUAAAUCCAGCUGCUUAACAGAUGGGCUGCGGAGGAUACUAUAAGACUAGGAGGCAGGAGAGGCAAGCGGUACUCAGUGGGUAGGGGUAAAAUCCGUUGAUCCAUUGAAGACCACCAGUGGCGAAGGCGGCUUGCCAGAAUGCGCUCGACGGUGAGGGAUGAAAGCUGGGGGAGCAAACCGG
rnacentral:rRNA from 4 species